rnacentral:snRNA from 1 species
GAGAAACCAGACCCCGAC